AGACAGUUCCCUAUGGAGCUCUUGGGUUUCUGCAAAAUUCAUAAGCAGAACUAACUGCCCUUUCAUUCUCAUUUUAGAGGGAAAGCCUUAAGACAGCAUUGGCGUUUCCACGUGGAGCAAAGCAUGGGCUUGCUUAUUGUCCUGUGUAAAGACAGAGCUUCCCUCAGGGACUAAAGUUGUCGGGUUUGCUCUGAGGCCAUCAAUAGAUUCAGAUUCUCUGUACUCCGGAUUCCACUGCCUGCUCUGUAUCCGCCUGGGCUCUCUGCCUCCACAGCUUGGGGCUGAGGAACAGGGAGAACCAAUCUGAACGUAAAUCUUGGGUUGCUUGCUGUGCUGUGAUUAAUGAAGUCAUUGUCUCUAAUCCAGGACUCUCUUGUCUUCUGCCAGCAUGAAACUGACAGGCCAACUUGUGAGCUUGAGAGGAGAUAAAAAUUUGCAGUUCUUGGACAGAGCGUGUGAAACUCUGAAAUGUGCCGUUGUCAGCUCAGAGGACUCGGGAAUUUCUUCUGCUUACGGAGUACGGGUGGCUGAGGGCAACUGCCGCAGGAGAGGUAACACCUGAACCACAUCUGAAAGAUGAGAAGUUGGCCAAGUGGGAGGAACACCAAGAAGAAGAAAUGAGACAUAGGAUUCUUCAGCAGAACAUUCAGAAGCUCGCAACUGAGCUGCAUCUGGCUGUUUUAAGAAAUAAAAAAGGGGGAGAUGCCGGAACCAGCAUGAGGACUCCGCCCGUGGCAAUGGUCAUGAGGAAGGAGGCUCUGCAUAUGCAAAGGUGGGAUCGAGCCUCAAGAGUUCCCCCUGGAAAUUCUCGAGCAUCUACCCCCAAAAC